rnacentral:rRNA from 1 species
CGCCCGUAGCUUUUCUUAUGGGUACCGCCUGCCCACUGAUUAUUUUAACGGCCGCAGUAUUUUGACUGUGCAAAGGUAGCAUAAUCAUUUGUCCCCUAAUUAGGGGCUGGAAUGAAUGGAUUAACGAGGUGGGAGCUGUUUCAGUAAUUAAAUUUAACUUAAUCUUUAAGUCAAAAAGCUUAAAUAUCAACGCAGGACGAGAAGACCCCGUAGAUCUUUAUAUAGAAAUUUUUACUAAACAUUGAAGCUUAAAUCGUGAAAUGUGAAUAUAUUUAGUUGGGGUGACACGAAGUCAUAAACACUUUUUUAGACACAAAAAUUUAAGGAUGAAUGACCCGGUUAGCCGAUCAAAAAAUUAAGUUACCUGGGGAUAACAGCGUAACCU